rnacentral:rRNA from 1 species
CCUCAGUAACGGCGAGUGAAGCGGUAACAGCUCAAAUUUGAAAUCUGGCCUCACGGUCCGAGUUGUAAUUUGUAGAGGAUGUUUCGAGCAUGGUCUGGCCUAAGUUCCUUGGAACAGGACGUCAUAGAGGGUGAGAAUCCCGUAUGCGGUCAGGUGCCUACGCUCAUGUGAAACUCCUUCGACGAGUCGAGUUGUUUGGGAAUGCAGCUCAAAAUGGGUGGUAAAUUUCAUCUAAAGCUAAAUAUUGGCCAGAGACCGAUAGCGCACAAGUAGAGUGAUCGAAAGAUGAAAAGCACUUUGGAAAGAGAGUUAAACAGUACGUGAAAUUGUUGAAAGGGAAGCGCUUGCAACCAGACUUGCACGCAGCUAAUCAUCCGGUGUUCUCACCGGUGCACUUGGUUGCGUUCAGGCCAGCAUCGGUUUCGGCGGUGGGAUAAAGGCCUUAGGAAUGUAGCUGCUCUCGGGCAGUGUUAUAGCCUAGGGUGCAAUGCCGCCUGCUGGGACCGAGGACCGCGCUUCGGCUAGGAUGCUGGCGUAAUGGUUGUAAGCGACCCGUCUUGAAACACGGACCAAGGAGUCUAACAUCUAUGCGAGUGUUUGGGUGUCAAACCCAUACGCGUAAUGAAAGUGAACGGAGGUGAGAACCCUUAAGGGUGCAUCAUCGACCGAUCCUGAUGUCUUCGGAUGGAUUUGAGUAAGAGCAUAGCUGUUGGGACCCGAAAGAUGGUGAACUAUGCCUGAAUAGGGUGAAGCCAGAGGAAACUCUGGUGGAGGCUCGCAGCGGUUCUGACGUGCAAAUCGAUCGUCAAAUUUGGGUAUAGGGGCGAAAGACUAAUCG